UCUCUUCUUGUUCUUGUUGCUGUUAUUUAAUUAACUUUUUCUUUCUCAUUAAAAAGUCGCACUAUAAAUUAUAAAUUAUUAUUAGAAUAAUGUUCCAUCGAAAAAUCAGACGCAGUUCCGUUCCUCAUCGUGCCAGUAAGCUUCCAAAUUGAUUGUACCCAAUUCGAACACAUUCGGCUGCUUGUUCGGUGAUGCGAUGUAACGUUUUGGAAUUUCAACUUUCCACCGUCUUUGGCAAGGCUUGCCGUCGUGACAGUCGUGGUAGAUUUUCAACACCGGGUCAAUAUCCGUAAUUUCAGAAGUUUGACCAUCGACGUAAAAUUCACCAUUCGCAUUGGUUCGCUUUUCAUCCAUAACAUCAUCAAAGCCAGUAUCAAUAUCAAUCAGUUUCACUUUGACACCAGCAGCCGGUUUCGCACCGCAGAACAAUUUUCCCUUAGCUGCAACACGUUGCAUACGGCCGAGCAGUGCGCAUGAUGAAUACAAAAUACCGAAUACGGUGAAAAGGAACAGAAACAGCUUCAUUCUUGCCAGAGUUAAACAAUGCAACUGAGCAGCAAACAGCAGUCAGCAGCAAGAUGAACAAUUGCGAAAGCAUUUGCCAAGAAUGUUUUCAUUAAUCAAGAACGAAAGUCGGAGGUUCGAAGGCGAUCAGAUACCGCCCUAGUUCUAACGGUAAACUAUGCCAACCAGCGAUUCGCCGAAGUUCAUUUAAGACUCGGCGAGCAGCUUCCGGGAAACCAAAGUGUUUCGGUUCCGGGGGAAGUGUUGUUGCAAAGCUGAAACUUAAAGGAAUUGACGGAAGGGCACCACCAGGAGUGGAGCCUGCGGCUUAAUUUGACACAACACGGGAAAACUCACCCGGCCCGGACACUGGAAGGAUUGACAGAUUGACAGCUCUUUCUUGAUUCAGUGGGUAGUGGUGCAUGGCCGUUCUUAGUUGGUGGAGCGAUUUGUCUGGUUAAUUCCGAUAACGAACGAGACUCUACCCUAUUAAAUAGUGACAGUAUUGUAUUUUUUGUGCUGAUCCCUUCUUAGAGGGACCGGCAAAUUGAAAGCUGCACGAAAAAGAGCAAUAACAGGUCUGUGAUGCCCUUCGAUGUCCGGGGCUGCACGCGCGCUACAAUGAAAGCGUCAACGUGAGUUACGUCCUUACCUGAAAAGGUUUGGCAAUCGAAUGAAACGUUUUCUUGAAUGGAAUAGGGAAUUGCAAUUGUUUCCCUUGAACGAGGAAUUCCCAGUAAGCGUGAGUCAUUAGCUCGCGUUGAUUACGUCCCUGCCCUUUGUACACACCGCCCGUCGCUACUACCGAUUGGAUUAUUUAGUGAGGUGUUUUGACUGGCGCCAGUAGUCGGAUGUAUUCGGCUUCGCGCCGGGAAAUUUCCCAAACCAAAUCAUCUAGAGGAAGUAAAAGUCGUAACAAGGUUUCCGUAGGUGAACCUGCGGAAG
rnacentral:rRNA from 1 species